GGGAAGGUGGCUCAGUGGUAGAGUGCUUGCUUUGCAUGCAUGAGGCCCUGGGUUCGAUUCCUCAGCGCCA
rnacentral:tRNA from 1 species